UACGAGGGGUGCAAACGUUAUUCGGAAUCAUUGGGCGUAAAGGGUGCGUAGACGGCAAAAAAAGUCAGUCAUUAAAUUUUUCAGCUUAACUGAGAACCUGUGAUUGAAACUGAUUUGCUUGAGGAUGGAAGAGAGAAGCGGAAUUCUCGGAAUAGCGGUAAAAUGCAUAGAUCUCGAGAGGAACACCGAUGGCGAAGGCAGCUUCUUGGUCCAUAUCUGACGUUGAGGCACGAAAGCGUGGGGAGCAAACAGG
rnacentral:rRNA from 1 species